GUAAAUGGGAAGGGACUCUAAAUCUCAGCAGCACAGAGCAAAUAAAAGGUUUUUAGGGGAAACCCGAAGCAGACAACACAGAAGACUCUCCAACCACAAGAAAUAGUUGGUUCCUUCAGUGAGCUAAAGAAGGGGAUGAUCAAACUCGCUCUUGAAAUCAAGCAAUAUUCAGGACUGAACUUGAGUGGAUGCCUAUAACAGAUUUGUUCUCGGCUUUCUAAUAAUAAAGAACGAAAAUCUUGAUUCUUAUAGACAGAAUAUGACAGUCAGGAACCCAGCUCUGCCUUGUGCAAUCGACACAAUAACCACACAGCUUUCAACAGUUCAUAAUGUACAGAUACAAAUGAUGGCGUGCAAAAUGAAUCAUUUUCACACUCUUUUAUUUAAUUUACGCAUUUAAAGUAAUUCUAAGGUAUCCUAAUUCAUACCUUGUUAUCUUUCUAUUGUGCACAGUAUCUGUUUACAUUAUAUUUGUGUAUACACAUGUGUGUAUAUAAACACACAAACAUGUGUUUUUCCUUUGUGUACAUGAAACUAAAAUCAGGAAACAACUAUGCAUA